AGAGUUUGAUCAUGGCUCAGAUUGAACGCUGGCGGCAUGCCUAACACAUGCAAGUCGAACGGUAACAGGCCGCUGUGAUCCCUUCGGGGUGAACUUGGCGCUGACGAGUGGCGGACGGGUGAGUAAUGCUUGGGAAUCUGCCCAGUAGUGGGGGACAACACGAGGAAACUCGUGCUAAUACCGCAUACGUCCUACGGGAGAAAGUGGGGGAUCUUCGGACCUCACGCUAUUGGAUGAGCCCAAGUCGGAUUAGCUUGUUGGUGAGGUAAAGGCUCACCAAGGCGACGAUCCGUAGCUGGUCUGAGAGGACGAUCAGCCACACUGGGACUGAGACACGGCCCAGACUCCUACGGGAGGCAGCAGUGGGGAAUAUUGGACAAUGGGGGCAACCCUGAUCCAGCAAUGCCGCGUGUGUGAAGAAGGCCUGCGGGUUGUAAAGCACUUUCAGUAGAGAAGAAAUGCCUGGGGUUAAUAACUCCGGGUCUUGACGUAACCUACAGAAGAAGCACCGGCUAACUCCGUGCCAGCAGCCGCGGUAAUACGGAGGGUGCGAGCGUUAAUCGGAAUUACUGGGCGUAAAGCGCGCGUAGGCGGCUAGGUCAGUCGGAUGUGAAAGCCCCGGGCUUAACCUGGGAAUUGCAUUCGAAACUGCCUGGCUAGAGUAUGGGAGAGGGAAGCGGAAUUUCCGGUGUAGCGGUGAAAUGCGUAGAUAUCGGAAGGAACACCAGUGGCGAAGGCGGCUUCCUGGCCAAUACUGACGCUCAGGUGC
rnacentral:rRNA from 1 species